rnacentral:rRNA from 1 species
UACGUAGGGGGCAAGCGUUAUCCGGAUUUAUUGGGCGUAAAGAGCUCGUAGGCGGCCGUUCGCGUCGGAUGUGAAAGCUCAGGGCUCAACUCUGAGAUGCCAUUCGAUACGGGACGGCUAGAGGUAGGUAGGGGAGAGUGGAAUUCCUGGUGUAGCGGUGAAAUGCGCAGAUAUCAGGAGGAACACCGGUGGCGAAGGCGGGUCUCUGGGCCGUAACUGACGCUGAGGAGCGAAAGCAUGGGGAGCGAACAGG